AGUAUCACAAAAUAGUAUAUCUACAAUCACAAAAAGUUAGGACAAUUGGUAUGUGACGAAGAUAGAAUAGACGAAGAGAGACUUAUAACAGAAUUGAAGACGAACCUACUGCAGAGCACGGAGGACGACGAGAUUGGAGAAGAGACCGGCGCAGGAACGACUGAUGCAGAGACGGCCAGCCAUCGUCGAUCUGUUCGGAAUCGGAUCCCGCCUGCCCGAUUCAAAGACUACACCCGACCCUAAUAAAUCUCUUAAAGGGUGGUUUAGUUUAGAAUAAAGUAUGACCAUAUCACAACUUAUCUUUAUUAUUUCUUAAGUAUAAAUUGGUACAAUUGUGGAAUGUUUAUUUUUAUCAAACUUUUCAAUUAAAAAUUGCUUACGCAAUUAAAACGGGUUGAAGAAACCUAGGGUUUUGUGGCUACUGUUUCAUUGCCUCCGUCUCCUCCCAUUCUCUACGUAUUAUUGGUGCUUUCAACGAUCUCCUUUCGGCGUGCAUUGCUCUAAUUAAGGUCACCUGGAUCAGCAUCAAGGAUUUGUACUCCUUCAAAAAAAAAAUCAAACUCUUAUCAAAAGCAUGUUCUGUGCUUAAUAGAUCCUUACCAGGGACGUAUCUAAUCUCAACUACAACUUAUUAUUCUAUUACUAAGUUGUUGCAAAUCGCAGAUCUAAACAACAACAAAAAAGACUGAAGAAGGAUCGGUAUUCCUUAAAACUACCAACAAACUUUCUAAAAGCUUGUUUUGUGCUUAACAGAUCCCAAACAGGAACGUAUCUAAUCCAUUAUUAUUGCAUCUAAUCUGUUCUGAAUCGAUUAAAUACAUUUUAGAUCGUGCAAAAGGAAAAAAAAUUAGAGCUGGAUAUUGAAGAAGGACUGGUAUCCCUAUAAUAUACCAAACAACUAUCCAAAGCAUGUUCUGUGCUUGACAGAACCGUAUCAGGGACGUAUCUUACCCCUAAAUCUCAUCAAUUAUCCAUUCAUUAAAGCUCUUUAAUAUUUUUUUCAGUAAUUGAAAUCUGUAAGAAGAAUGAGUGAAUCAAUGGAAACUCAACUAAAAAGAUUACAGAUUAAGCAAGAUGUGGAAAGUGAAAGAAUGAAAAAGAUGGAACAAACUUUGGCUCAAAUGAGUGAGUCACUAUGUCUACUUAGGAAAAUAGGAAGUCAAGAAACUGGACAAAGUUCAAACAAUUCAGACUUCAAAUCCAAAUCUGUGAGAUCUGAAAUGCCUAAGUUCGAUGGAGAUAAUGUGCAAGGAUAGGUCUACAAAGCUAAUAAAUAUUUGAGAUACCACAAUGUUCCAAAUGAAGAGAGGAUCAUAGUAGCUACCUUCAAUAUGGAAGGUGAGGCCUUAGAGUGGUUACUAUGGGCUGAUAGAAAUAAUCAAAUAAAGUCAUGGUAUGACUUUGUAGAGGAUAUCACUAAAAGAUUUGGCACUUCUGCAUAUGAGAUUCCUGCUGGAAGACUUAGCAAAGUGAUGCAAACCACUACUGUCAAGGAGUAUCAACACAUAUUCGAGAGCUUAGCAAAUUAAUAAAGUAACUGAUAUCAAUCCUAAAGUUCUUAAAGAAAUAUUUAUGGCAGGAUUAAAAAAUGAAGUACAAAAGGACGUGAUAAAAGCCAGACCUGAAACACUAGUUGAAGCUUUUGCUCUAGCACAAUUAUAUGAAAGGGAGGAUCUCUCAACUGAUAUAGUCAGAUACUGCCCCCAACAAGCUAUAGUUCCUUACAGUCCUGCAACAACAAAUCAGAAUUUGAGUUCUUAUAUUCCACCUCAUAAGAGACUAAUGGCAUCACCAAUUAUUAGACAGAAAUUAACACCUGCAGAAAUAAGAAUCAAAAGGUCUAAGAAUGAAUGUUUCAACUGUACAGAAAAGUAGGAAAAAGGCACAAAUGCAAAGGAAGACUGUUUCUAUUAUCUGAUGAUGGACAGAAUUUCAGUGAAUAUACUGACCCGAAUGAAGAAGAUGAUAUAUUUCUAGAUACUGUGGAAGAAAUAAGAGCUGAGCCAACACAUAUCAGUUAUCACUCUCUGCAAGGCCAAGCAAGUCCAAGGACCUUGAGGCUAACUGCUGCAAUCAACAAUUGCAAAGUAUCAGUGCUACUGGAUUCUAGAUCCACUCACAAUUUUUUACAAGGGGAUAUUGCUGAAUAUCUAAGGCUUCCUAUCUAUCCUAUUCCAUCAUUCUUAGUAUCCACUGGCAGUGAGAUAGAUUUGAAGUGUGACAAAAUGUGCAAGCAAGUACAGAUAGAUAUACAAGGCACUAAAAUGGUAAUUGAUCUUUUUAUUUUAGAUUUAGUGGGAGCUAAUCUGGUUCUAGGUAUACAAUGGUUUAAGACUGUUGGGUCAGUUCUUUCUUAUUAUGUAAACAUGUCUAUUCAGUUAAACUAGAUGGGAAAGAAAAUAAAUUGGGUGGAAGAAACUAUAUUAUCUGAUGAUAGCUUUUCUACCCAUGAAUUGAAAAACCUAGCAAUGUCUACGGCUAGUGCAUAUUUCUGCAGAUUUGAGUUUGUAGACCAGAAAAAUGACACAAAUCACAAACAGGAGAAGGAUAAAUCAGGUCAAGAUGACAAGUUAAAAUAAAUAUUAGAGAAAUUCAGUGACGUGUUUGAGGAACCAACUAGCCUUCCUCUAGUAAGGUCACAGUUCCAUAAUAUACAUUUGGAACCUUCUGCAGCACUUGUUAAUAUCAGACCAUAUAAACAAGCUCAAUUUCAAAAGGAUGAAAUGCAGAGAAUUGUGCAAGAAAUGCUGAAACAGAAAAUAGUGCAAGAGAGCAUUAGUCCUUAUUCUUCACCAGUGUUGUUGGUGAAAAAGAAAGAGGGCAGUUGGAGACUUUGUAUUGAUUACAAAGCUUUAAAUAAAAUCAUCAUAAGAGAUAGGUUUCCUAUACCUAUUGUGGAUGAAAUCUUAGCCGAACUGAAAGGGUCUGUGGUGUACUCCAAAUUAGAUUUAAGAUCUGGGUGAACAGAAUUUUCACCCCUAUUUUAAGAAAGUUUGUACUGGUCUUCUUUGAUGAUAUUCUAAUAUUCAGCAAUUCAAAAGAAAUACAUCUACAACAUCUGGUAGAGGUAUUAACUAUUUUGAGAGACAAUCAAUUAUAUGCCAAAGAGUCUAAGUGUUUAUUUUGCCAGAAUGAAAUUCAAUUCUUGGGACACAUAAUUUCCGGGGAAGGAUUAAAACCAGAUCCUGAGAAGUUAGUGGCAGUCCAAAAUUGGCCACAACCAACCACAAUUAAAGGUUUAUGAGGAUUUUUAGGACUCUCAGGUUAUUGCAGAAAAUUUGUAAAAAAUUAUGCUAGCAUUGCAGCCCCACUGAUUGAUUUACUCAAAAAGAAUAACUUUAUUUGGAAUGAGGCAGCCACUACUAGUUUAGAGAAAUUAAAAGAGGCACUCAUGGGAGCUCCUGUUUUACACCAUCCAGAUUUUGAAAAAUCGUUUGAUAUUGAAACUGAUGCAUGCCAAGGAGCCUGAAGGAGGAGUAGGGGCUGUUUUGAGUCAGGAAGGUCAUCCCCUAGCCUUCCACAGUUCUAAAAUAUCAGGAAGGAUGCUAUUGGCCUCCACUUAUGCCAAAGAAAUGCAUGCCAUCACCCAAGCUAUUGGAAAAUGGAGGCACUAUCUAUUGGGUCACAAAUUCACCAUCCACACUGAUCAUCAAAGUAUCAAGAAUAUGUUAAUAUAGUUGAUACAAACCCCUAACCAACAGAAAUUCCUAUACAAACUAUUAGGGUUCGAUUACACCAUCAAAUAUAAACCGGGGAAAGAGAAUAGAGCAGUUGAUGCACUGUCAAGAAGAGGUGAGGAUGAAAUCAGAAAUGUCAUUCCUACGGGGUCACUCUUAGGUCUUACUAAAUUGGUGAGCAACUUAGUGACAGAGUUGAAUGAAGAACAGAAACAAAAACAGGAGUUAUGCAGUUUGAAAGAAAGAGUGAGAUAGAGAAUAGAAAAAAAUCCUAAAUGGAAGAUUGAUGGUGAAAUGCUACUAUAUGAUGGGAGAUAUGUUAUAUCUCAAGAAUCUGAAUUAAUUAAGGAUAUUGUCAAGGAGUACCAUGACAGUCCUAUUGGGGGUCAUUCGGGAGUGGAAAGAACUAUUAAAAAAAUCAAAUUAUUAUUCUGGUGGAAGAGAAUGUCCAAAAGAAUAUAAAAAAUAUGUUGAAGAAUGCUUUGUGUCACAGACAAUAAUAAAUCACAAGGAUUGCCAAUGUCUUUGCCAACACCUAAUGCGGUUUGGAAGGACAUCUCUACAGACUUCAUCACAAGCCUGCCCAGGGUUAAAGGUAAAACAGUAAUAAUAGUGGUAGUUGACAGACUUUCAAAAUUCUGUCAUUUGGGAGCAUUGCCGACUGAUUUCACAACAAAGAUGGUGGCAACAUUUUUUGUGGAAAAUAUCAUUAAACUUCAUGGUGUUCCAGCUUCUAUAAUAUCUGACAGGGAUAAGGUAUUCAUAAGUUCCUUAUGGAGGGAAUUGAAUAGACUAAAUGACACUACACUAAAAUUAUCUUCAACUUAUCACCCCGAAACUGAUGGGCAAACCAAGGUGACUAAUAGAGGGAUCGAGAUGUUCCUAAGAUCUUUAGUUCAUGAUCAACCUAAGAGAUGGCUUGAAAUGUUACCAUGGGCAUAAUUAUGGCACAAUUCAACAUUUAAUGUGUCUAUUGGUAUGUCACUAUUCCUAGCACUAUAUGGGAGGGAAGUUGCAUCAUUCACUGAAUUUCACAAUGGUGAAUCCAACAAUUUACUAGUGGAGGAAGAAAUACUAAGAAGACAAGAGAUAAUCGAGACAGUAAAAAUAAAUAUGGAUAAAGCCAAGGAUUACAUGAAAAACAGAGCAGAUAGAAACAGGGUUGACAUUGAAUUUAAUGAGGGUGAUUGGGUAUUCAUCAAGCUAAAACCAUACCGAAAAAUAUCCGUAAUCCACAGGCUACAUCAUAAGUUAUCUUCCCGAUUUUUUGGACCAUACCAAAUCACGAAGAAGAUCAACAAAGUAGACUAUAAGAUACAAUUACCUAUAAACAGUUUAAUUCACAAUACAUUUCAUAUUUCGUUGCUAAGUAAGUAUAAAGGAGAAGUACCACCACCAUCAAAGGAGAACCCACCAGGAGUGGAAGUGGAAAAUCAACCCGUGUUGUACCCGAUCAAAGUCACAGACCGUCAAACUAUCUUGGUGAGUGGAAGAGCUGUUGAUGAAGUGUAGAUCGUCGGGAAAGGGCUUAUUAAAUCAGAAGCUUCCUGGGAAAAAAAAAUCAAAGAUAGCGGAGAUUUACCCCUCUUUCAACCUUGAGGACAAUAAGGUCGAUGUUAUGGAAGUAGGAGAUGAUGAAGAUAGAAUAGACGAAGAGAGACUUAUAACAGAAUUAAAGACGAACCUGCUGUAGAGCACGGAGGACGACGAGACUGGAGAAGAGACCGGCGCAGGAACGACUGAUGCAGAGACGGCCAGCCAUCGUCGAUCUGUUCUGAAUCGGAUCCCGCCUGCCCGAUUCAAAGACUACACCCGACCCUAAUAAAUCUCUUAAAGGGUGAUUUAGUUUAGAGUAAAGUGUGACCAUGUCACAACUUAUCUUUAUUAUUUCUUAAGUAUAAAUUGGUACAAUUGUG
rnacentral:lncRNA from 1 species